rnacentral:rRNA from 1 species
UACGAAGGGGGCUAGCGUUGCUCGGAAUCACUGGGCGUAAAGGGUGCGUAGGCGGGUUCUUAAGUCAGAGGUGAAAUCCUGGAGCUCAACUCCAGAACUGCCUUUGAUACUGAGAGUCUUGAGUAUGACAGAGGUGAGUGGAACUGCGAGUGUAAGAGGUGAAAUUCGUAGAUAUUCGCAAGAACACCAGUGGCGAAGGCGGCUCACUGGGUCAUUACUGACGCUGAGGCACGAAAGCGUGGGGAGCAAACAGG